GGGGGCGUCCCGGUUUCGACGGGAGCGCUGGCGCUUAGGAGGCAUGCCGGGGGUCCACACCACCCGUAAUCGGCGUGGGUCAAAGACAACUGCCAACACGCAGUAUGCCUACGCUGCCUAAUUAGGUAGCCGUCUCCUCCGUCAGGCCCGCAGGGCGGAGAGAGGCGUCGAUCAGCGGGCUGGCUCGGGGCCAGAUGUCUCGGGGUUCGGAGCGAGACUUAGAGGCUAGCGGACGGUUCGUUCUUGCUCGUUCCUGAGGGCCGUCGGCAAAAGCGGUAAGCGAACGGGCUAAGCAUGUAGGCUCCUAACCGUGGGCCUCUUCGGACGGGGGUUCGACUCCCCCCGCCUCCACCA
rnacentral:tmRNA from 1 species